rnacentral:misc_RNA from 1 species
GAAAUGCGAUAAGUAAUGUGAAUUGCAGAAUUCAGUGAAUCAUCGAAUCUUUGAACGCACUUUGCGCUCCUUGGUAUUCCUUGGAGCAUGCCUGUUUGAGUAUCAUGAAAUCUUCAAAGUAAAUCUUUUGUUAACUCAAUUGGUUUCUACUUUGGUAUUGGAGGUCUUUGCAGCUUCACACCUGCUCCUCUUUGUUCAUUAGCUGGAUCUCAGUGUUAUGCUUGGUUCCACUCGGCGUGAUAAGUUAUCUAUCGCUGAGGACACUGUAAAAGGUGGCCAAGGUAAAUGCAGAUGAACCGCUUCUAAUAGUCCAUUGACUUGGACAAUACUUUUAUGAUCUGAUCUCAAAUCAGGUAGGACUACCCGCUGAACUUAAGC